GCAUAUCAAUAAGCGGAGGAAAAGAAACCAACAGGGAUUGCCUCAGUAACGGCGAAGUGAAGCGGCAAGAAGCUCAAAUUUGAAAGCUGGCUCCUUCGGGGUCCGCAUUGUAAUUUGCAGAGGAUGCUUCGGGAGCGGUCCCCAUCUAAGUGCCCUGGAACGGGCCGUCAUAGAGGGUGAGAAUCCCGUCUGGGAUGGGGUGUCCGCGCCCGUGUGAAGCUCCUUCGACGAGUCGAGUUGUUUGGGAAUGCAGCUCUAAAUGGGUGGUAAAUUUCAUCUAAAGCUAAAUACUGGCCGGAGACCGAUAGCGCACAAGUAGAGUGAUCGAAAGAUGAAAAGCACUUUGAAAAGAGAGUUAAACAGCACGUGAAAUUGUUGAAAGGGAAGCGCUUGCGACCAGACUCGCCUGUAGGGUUCAGCCGGCAUUCGUGCCGGUGUACUUCCCUGCGGGCGGGCCAGCGUCGGUUUGGGCGGCCGGUCAAAGGCCCUCGGAAUGUAACGCCCCCCGGGGCGUCUUAUAGCCGAGGGUGCCAUGCGGCCAGCCCGGACCGAGGAACGCGCUUCGGCUCGGACGCUGGCAUAAUGGUCGUAAGCGACCCGUCUUGAAACACGGACCAAGGAGUCUAACAUCUACGCGAGUGUUCGGGUGUCAAACCCGUGCGCGCAGUGAAAGCGAACGGAGGUGGGAACCCCUCGGGGUGCACCAUCGACCGAUCCUGAUGUCUUCGGAUGGAUUUGAGUAAGAGCGUAGCUGUUGGGACCCGAAAGAUGGUGAACUAUGCCUGAAUAGGGCGAAGCCAGAGGAAACUCUGGUGGAGGCUCGCAGCGGUUCUGACGUGCAAAUCGAUCGUCAAAUUUGGGUAUAGGGGCGAAAGACUAAUCGAACCAUCUAGUAGCUGGUCUGC
rnacentral:rRNA from 1 species